rnacentral:rRNA from 1 species
CCGAAAAUGUCCGGGCUGAAACACCCCCUGCGAAGCUCAGAUACUGAUGUAUGUAGAGAGCAUGUAUACGGGACGAAGCAGUACCGAUAAGGAGCUGUGGACUGUAUAGAAGAGAAGAAUGCCGGAAUGAGUAGCGAGAGAAAGUGAGAAUCCUCCGGCCGAAUAUCUAAGGUUUCCAGAGUAAAGCUGAUCUGCUCUGGGUAAGUCGGGGCCUUAGGCCAGGUCGAAAGACGUAACCGAUGGACAACAGGUUGAAAUUCCUGUACCUUAAGUAAACAGAACUGUGGGGACACGUGUGGAGAGCACAAGCCGGAAAUGGAAAAGCCGGUGCAAGCGAGGUAGGAGUACAGUAGGCAAAUCCGCUGUACAAUCCGAAGACGUGAUGCGGACCGAAUUAAGAGUAGGGAAGUGUGUGAGCCAUGCGUCAAGAAAAGCCGCUAUUGUUUUACUUAAGCCCGUACCGUAAACCGACACAGGUGGAUGAGGAGAGAAUCCUAAGGCCGACGGGAGAAGCAUUGUUAAGGAACUCGGCAAAAUGACUCCGUAACUUCGGGAGAAGGAGUGCCAGCGAGAGCUGGCCGCAGAGAAUUGGCCCAAGCAACUGUUUAGCAAAAACACAGGUCUAUGCAAAACCGUAAGGUGAAGUAUAUGGGCUGACGCCUGCCCGGUGCUGGAAGGUUAAGAGGAGAGGUUAGCGGCAACGCGAAGCUUUGAAUUUAAGCCCCAGUAAACGGCGGCCGUAACUAUAACGGUCCUAAGGUAGCGAAAUUCCUUGUCGGGUAAGUUCCGACCCGCACGAAAGGCGUAAUGAUUUGGGCACUGUCUCAACAAUGCACCCGGUGAAAUUGAAAUACCAGUGAAGAUGCUGGUUACCUGCGCCAGGACGGAAAGACCCCAUGGAGCUUUACUCCAGCUUGAUACUGGGAUUCGGUAUUGCAUGUACAGGAUAGGUGGGAGGCUAGGAAGUGAUAACGCCAGUUGUCACGGAGCCGCUGUUGGGAUACCACCCUUGCAGUAUUGGAUUUCUAACCAGCGACCAUGAACUGGUCGGGGGACAAUGUCAGGUGGGGAGUUUGACUGGGGCGGUCGCCUCCGAAAGGGUAUCGGAGGCGCUCAAAGGUUCCCUCAGAAUGGACGGAAACCAUUCGAAGAGUGCAAAGGCAGAAGGGAGCUUGACUGCGACACCGACGGGUGGAGCAGGUACGAAAGUAGGACUUAGUGAUCCGGUGGUAUAAAGUGGGAUUGCCAUCGCUCAACGGAUAAAAGCUACCCUGGGGAUAACAGGCUUAUCACUCCCAAGAGUUCACAUCGACGGAGUGGUUUGGCACCUCGAUGUCGGCUCAUCGCAUCCUGGGGCUGAAGUAGGUCCCAAGGGUUGGGCUGUUCGCCCAUUAAAGCGGUACGCGAGCUGGGUUCAGAACGUCGUGAGACAGUUCGGUCCCUAUCCGGCGUGGGCGUAGGAUAUUUGAGAGGAGCUGUCCUUAGUACGAGAGGACCGGGAUGGACUGGCCGCUGGUGUAUCUGUUGCAUACCAAAUGCAUGGCAGAGUAGCCAAGCCGGGACGGGAUAAACGCUGAAGGCAUCUAAGCGUGAAGCCCCCCUCAAGAUGAGAUAUCCCUACGUAAGUAGUAAGACCCCUUGA